CUCAGAUACUUUGUUGCAGUAACAUAGUAAUGUAACUGUGGAUGGACACAUCCACGAAUCCCACUCUUGAGAAGCCCUCAACCUCAGGUCUGAGAGUAGCAGGCUUACAAGGGGAAUGUCAUUCACCGUAGCAUUAUUUUUAAAGAAGGAAGUUGGAAGUGGCUCAGCUACCAUGGAUUGGCCGGAGAUGAGUACAUGGUGAUACAUUCAUGACAUGGCAGAAGCUGUGAAGAGGGUUCCUUGGAGCUGAGGAGACAGAGGAAGGAAGAUGGAAGGCAGAGCUUCUUUGGAGAGUGGAAACAACCGUGCACGUUCUGACAAGCCUGCAGAGUCAGUCUGAUCAUGGUGAAUAACAUCACAUCUCUAAAGCGGGCCAAGGGCCUGGUGAUGCUGCCUGUCUCUUCUCAUCGCUUGCUUGAAUCUCCCUUCAACCCACCUGGCACUU
rnacentral:lncRNA from 1 species